CCCGCGAUUACGCAACGAUGAGAACGCAGCUCUAGGCCGGUCUGGAAAGGCAGCACAGUUGGGCCCAAGUGGCCCAACUCCCUGGAGGAGAGGACGGGCUCUGAAGACUCUUCCGGCUGCCCCUGAAACCCUGAAACCGCUUAGUUGUUUUUCUGGUUGACUAGCUGCUGCACGCAACUGUCAGCUGCUUGUGAACUGUGUGACGCCAGUUCGCGCUCCUGUUUGUUUUCUAAAAGGCACUGCCCUGAUUUUUUUUUAACGACUAAAUAAUAAUAAUCAUUGCAGUCUCCCUCUCCUGAGGUGUUCCUUGAUGUCUCUAGGGUGCUAGGGCUGGGCCAGCAUCUUUUCCUGCAAUUUUUUUAUCCUCCCAUGGACAGCAGGGAGAACACAGGCUGCACCAGGCUGUUACACCAGGCCUCCCCGCUGGGAUAAAUGCAGCUUGUUUCAAAAGUGAAGGAAGGAAGGAGAGAGCGGAGAGGACAUCAAUCCCCUCCUUCCCAAAGGUUGCACCUACCAGCGACAGUGAGUUCCUGUUUUGAGGAGCAGGAGCUUGAAUAUUGUGAGCCUAAUGACAAAGUCAACAAUUGUUCAGAAGACCUGCAUUCACCAGAAAGAAUCUUUUUACCAAUAUUCAGAUGAUCAAAUUUUAAAAUUCAGCACGGACUGAGUUUUUAUACAUUCUGCACACUCCAAAACAGGGGAAGACCACCACAGCGUGCACAGGAGGAAAAAAGUCAGACUGUGCAAUCAUUAUGCAAUAAUGCAUUAAUAAUAUAUGGUUUAUUGAACCAAAAAAGACUUUGGCCAAACUCCCAGUCAUUUAACCCAUUGAGUGGUUUUAAGUUAUAUAGCCACCGAAGAAGAAAUUACCUGAGGAAGAAUAGAGUAAACCUACCAGGAACCUCCUCAGUUACCUAAAGCAAUGCCUCUAAGAAGCAUGGAGAAGAAGCUCAGUGUGGAAAUGGAGAAAACCAACUUGUUCAUCUAAAGCUGAGUCUCAGGGACUAUUUGGCACACAGCUAUGAACCUGGGGGACUGGAAAAGUCAGAAACUUAGCAGGAAAAACAAGUCCCUGUGGCUCAUUGCCAGGGAUCUUCCCUGCCUGACUGAAGCUUCAUCAACAGUGGAAAGCUGCCCUACAUGGAGGGCAGGGGCCUCUGCUUGCUGUCUGCUUUGCCACAUGAAAUGCAAGGUCCUUCAUGACAACAAACCUGUAUCCUCUUCUCCCAGGAGCAUAGGGAUCAAAGAGCCCAUGGAAGGACAGACUGAGAAUUCCUUUCCAUGAGAAGGCCAGGAACACAGCAUAGGAAGCAUAACUAGUUGUUGAAUCUUCUACCAAAUGACGUUAAUGGAUCUGAGAGCCUUAUGCCAUGGCAACAUGAAAAAACUGUCCUCACCUUCUGCUGUCACCUGCCAGAGACCUGACCUGCCAGAGGCUGAAUGUAGUGUGUCUCCAAGCAGCUAAUCCUGCAGUUCUCACAGGCCCUGAUGCUGUUCAGGAUGCUGCCUGGAGUUCUCACAGCUGCACUUCUCCAGAGACAGAGCCCAUGCACAUUGUGCCCCAACUGCCACUAAUACCUCACCAUUAUGAAAUAGGAGCCACUGAAUGUGUGCUGCUCCAUGAGGCCUGUAGCCCUGCACCUCACCUUCCCUGAGGCUCUGACACUAUUUCACCAGGCUCACAUACAUGCUAGUGCACUGUUCUCCAGCUGAGCUGCUACAGCUCCCUCCCCUGAGGAUGUACACUUCCUAGAAGGUCCCCCAUCUCUGCCAUCCUCACAGCUGCUAUCCCCCAUUCAUCCCCAGCCACCUGGAGCCAAGGCCCAGUGGAAUAGCUAUGACUCUCAGAGCCCAAGCUCACAUGGAACCUCACUCUGGGGACCAGGUGUCUGACACAAAGAAGACGCUGUACCCAGGUUGGUGGAGCACAUACAUGCCCUUGGUGCCUGGACCAAUCAAGUGCCCCGCUCCCAGAAAAUUGGAAAUUUGGCACAGGGGAGCAGAUGCCCCAUUGGCAUCCCCCACCUUGGGGACCAUUUGCUGUAUCCCAGAAGAGAUGCCACUCCUGAGCUGGUGAAGUGGCUGUGUCCCCUCAGAACCCGAGCUAACCUAGUACUUUAUCUUAAG
ensembl:lncRNA